CUCAAAUCUUUUUCUCUCCAUUUUUCUUAUCAGAUUUUACCUCCUCUGCCUGCAAAAUUAUAGAGACGUCCUUUCAGUGGCUGAGGAGACGACACCGGUAUGUUUCAGCUAGUGAAGGCUAUAAGAGCUUGACCGUUUACGCGGUGAUGCAAUUGCAGGACAAAGAAACAAAGGUUUUUAUAGAGCUUUAAUUUGGAGCAGUUCUAUAUGGCUUUCAUCAUAACUGGGGAGAUUCAUCUCGAGUGAAGAUCUAGUAGAGGAGAUCGUCUAAUUGUCCAACCGGUCUCAAGGGUCCUAGUAUCGAGGGAAAGUCCUCGUCGGCAAUAGAUAUCGCAUUAGGACAUCAUAAAGUUCAAAAUGCUAAAGGAUAGACAGACAAAGAAGCAGAAAGGAAAAAUGAAAACAAGCAAUAUAUAUAUAUAGAGGCUUUGACAGCAAGUAGACAGACAGACAUAGUAUUUGUUAUUUAUAUUGGAGUUGAUUUUUAGCUAGCUAUCUGAAUUAAUGUUUAACAUACUACCAACGAUUUCAACCUAUUACCAUCAGUUUCACUCUCCACUCCGCCGAAUGGUGAUGCAUAACUUAGCUUGUUUUGACAGAUCCGGUGAUUUAACACAGGCGGCAGAUUACCAUUCUGUAUCAGGUUUGAUAUACAAGCCUCUUUCAUAGUUGAUGAACUACACCUACAAACUGGCCUAAUGAAUGUCAAAUAAACAUAAUGAA
rnacentral:lncRNA from 1 species